UCGAGAAUCAUUCACAAUGGGGGAAACCCUGAUGGUGCGACGCCGCGUGGGGGAAUGAAGGUCUUCGGAUUGUAAACCCCUGUCAUGUGGGAGCAAAUUAAAAAGAUAGUACCACAAGAGGAAGAGACGGCUAACUCUGUGCCAGCAGCCGCGGUAAUACAGAGGUCUCAAGCGUUGUUCGGAAUCACUGGGCGUAAAGCGUGCGUAGGCGGUUUCGUAAGUCGUGUGUGAAAGGCGGGGGCUCAACCCCGGACUGCACAUGAUACUGCGAGACUAGAGUAAUGGAGGGGGAACCGGAAUUCUCGGUGUAGCAGUGAAAUGCGUAGAUAUCGAGAGGAACACUCGUGGCGAAGGCGGGUUCCUGGACAUUAACUGACGCUGAGGCACGAAGGCCAGGGGAGCGAAAGGG
rnacentral:rRNA from 1 species